ACGACUACAUAUCAGGCAUAUCAAUAAGCGGAGGAAAAGAAACUAACAAGGAUUCCCUUAGUAACGGCGAGUGAAGCGGGAAGAGCUCAAAUUUGAAAUCUUCAAGGUUUUACCUUGACGAAUUGUAGUUUAAAGAAGUGUUUUCUGUUGAAGUUUUGGUAAAAGUUCUUUGGAAUAGGACAUCAUAGAGGGUGAGAAUCCCGUAUUUGACCAUUAUUUCAGCUUUGUGAUACACUUUCAAAGAGUCGGAUUGUUUGGGAAUGCAGUCCAAAAUGGGUGGUAAAUUUCAUCUAAAGCUAAAUAUUGGCGAGAGACCGAUAGCGAACAAGUACCGUGAGGGAAAGAUGAAAAGCACUUUGAAAAGAGAGUUAAACAGUACGUGAAAUUGUCAAAAGGGAAGCGUUUGACACCAGUGCUGUUUUCUCGAAAAUCAAUUAAAAAAGUUGGGAUUUUGUGUUGUAUUGACCUUAUCAGCUUUCUAGCACUCUUUUCCUGUCUUUUUUAAUGCACUUUUCGUUUAACAAGUCAACAUCAAUUUCUUUUGUUGUAAAAGGGUCAUUGGAAGGUGGCUUUCUUUUCGGAGAAAGUGUUUAUAGCCUUUGAUCUCUGCAAUCGGAGAGACUGAGGUCUGCAGCGUAGAUCCUUCGGGGUUAGAUACAUUUGUGCUAAGUUAUAACUUUUCAUAGACAACUUGUUGACUAUGUUUAGUCAUGUAGCUUACUCGCUUAUGCUAUUUUACCUACGCUUAGGAUGUUGAGCGCAUGUCUCUCUCU
rnacentral:rRNA from 1 species